CAAUAGCGUAUAUUAAAGUUGUUGCAGUUAAAACGCUCGUAGUCGGAUUUCGGGGCGGGCCGACCGGUCUGCCGUUGGGUAUGCACUGGCCGGCGCGUCCUUCCUUCCGGAGACCGUGCCUUCUCUUAACUGGGCGGGUUCGGGAAACGGAACGUUUACUUUGAAAAAUCAGAGUGUUUCAAGCAGGCAGCUCGCUCUUGCAUGGAUUAGCAUGGGAUAAUGAAAUAGGAAUUUGGUGCUAUUUCGUUGGUCUCGGGACGGGAGUAAUGAUUAAGAGGAACAGUUGGGGGCAUUCGUAUUUCAUUGUCAGAGGUGAAAUUCUUGGAUUUAUGAAAGACGAACUUCUGCGAAAGCAUUUGCCAAGGAUGUUUUCAUUAAUCAAGAACGAAAGUUGGGGGCUCGAAGAUGAUUAGAUACCA
rnacentral:rRNA from 1 species